CAGGUGCGGGCGUGCCUACACAUGCAAGUCGAACGAGAAAGUGGAGCAAUCCAUGAGUAAAGUGGCGCACGGGCGAGUAACACGUGACUAACCUACCCAGGAGUGGGGGAUAACUGAGGGAAACCUUAGCUAAUACCGCAUAACACCUACGGGUCAAAGGAGCAAUUCGCUUCUGGAGGGGGUCGCGGCCGAUUAGUUAGUUGGCAGGGUAAUGGCCUACCAAGACGAUGAUCGGUAUCCGGCCUGAGAGGGCGCACGGACACACUGGAACUGAAACACGGUCCAGACUCCUACGGGAGGCAGCAGUGGGGAAUUUUGCGCAAUGGGGGAAACCCUGACGCAGCAACGCCGCGUGGAGGAUGAAGUCCUUCGGGACGUAAACUCCUUUCGAUCGGGACGAUUAUGACGGUACCGGAAGAAGAAGCCCCGGCUAACUUCGUGCCAGCAGCCGCGGUAAU
rnacentral:rRNA from 1 species